UACGUAGGGUGCGAGCGUUAAUCGGAAUUACUGGGCGUAAAGCGUGCGCAGGCGGUUUUGUAAGUCGGAUGUGAAAUCCCCGGGCUUAACCUGGGAAUGGCAUUCGGGACUGCAAGGCUGGAGUGCGGCAGAGGAGACUGGAAUUCCUGGUGUAGCAGUGAAAUGCGUAGAUAUCAGGAGGAACACCGAUGGCGAAGGCAGGUCUCUGGGCUGACACUGACGCUCAUGCACGAAAGCGUGGGGAGCAAGCAGG
rnacentral:rRNA from 1 species